AACGAACGCUGGCGGCAUGCCUAACACAUGCAAGUCGAACGGGAUCCUAGCUUGCUAGGUGAGAGUGGCGGACGGGUGAGUAACACGUGGGAAUCUGCCUUUUGGUUCGGGAUAACCGCGGGAAACUGCGGCUAAUACCGAAUGCCCUCGAGAGAGGGAAGAUUUAUCGCCAGAAGAGGAGCCCGCGUCCGAUUAGGUAGUUGGUGGGGUAAAGGCCUACCAAGCCGACGAUCGGUAGCUGGUCUGAGAGGAUGAUCAGCCACACUGGGACCGAGAUACGGCCCAGACUCCUACGGGAGGCAGCAGUGGGGAAUAUUGGACAAUGGGGGCAACCCUGAUCCAGCAAUGCCGCGUGAGUGAUGAAGGCCUUAGGGUUGUAAAGCUCUUUUGCCAGGAAGAUGAUGACUGUACCUGGAGAAUAAGCCCCGGCUAACUUCGUGCCAGCAGCCGCGGUAAU
rnacentral:rRNA from 1 species